rnacentral:rRNA from 1 species
ACCAACGGCCAUAUCACCCUGCAGCUCUCAACUGGUUAUCCACUGAAACAAAGCAGGAUAGAACCUGGUCUGUACCUGGAAGAGAGACCAACUGGGAAGCUAUGGUUGCUGCUGGAA